rnacentral:rRNA from 1 species
GACGAACGCUGGCGGCGUGUCUAAUACAUGCAAGUCGAACGCAGUGGGGACGGGUGAGUAACACGUGGGUAACCUCCCAUCAGAGGGGAUAACACUUGGAAACAGGUGCUAAACCGAUAUUGAUGGCUGGACCCGCGGUGCAUUAGCUAGUUGGUGAGGUAAAGGCUCACCAAGGCCACGCUGCAUAGCCGACCUGAGAGGGGGAGCGGCCACACUGGGACGGAGACACGGCCCAGACUCCUACGGGAGGCAGCAGUGGGGAAUCUUCGGCAAUGGACGCAAGCCUGACGGAGCCACGCCGCGUGAGUGAAGAAGGUUUUCGGAGGGUAAAACUCUGUUGUUAGGGAAGCGGUAUCUAACCAGAAAGCAACGGCUAACUACGUGCCAGCAGCCGCGGUAAUUC